AGAUUGAACGCUGGCGGCAUGCCUUACACAUGCAAGUCGAACGGCAGCACGGGAGCAAUCCUGGUGGCGAGUGGCGAACGGGUGAGUAAUAUAUCGGAACGUGCCCAGUAAUGGGGGAUAGCCCGGCGAAAGCCGGAUUAAUACCGCAUACGACCUACGGGUGAAAGCGGGGGAUCGCAAGACCUCGCGUUAUUGGAGCGGCCGAUAUCAGAUUAGCUUGUU
rnacentral:rRNA from 1 species